AAAAGCGUAACAAGGUCUCCGUUGGUGAACCAGCGGAGGGAUCAUUACCGAGUUUAC
rnacentral:rRNA from 1 species